GACGAACGCUGGCGGCGUGCUUAACACAUGCAAGUCGAACGAUGAAGCUAGAGCUUGCUCUGGUGAAUUAGUGGCGAACGGGUGAGUAACACGUGAGUAACCUGCCCCGAACUCUGGGAUAACUGCUGGAAACGGUAGCUAAUACUGGAUACGACCUACGAAGGCAUCUUCUGUAGGUGGAAAGAAUUUCGGUUCGGGAUGGACUCGCGGCCUAUCAGCUUGUUGGUGAGGUAAUGGCUCACCAAGGCGACGAACGGGUAGCCGGCCUGAGAGGUGACCGGCCACACUGGGACUGAGACACGGCCCAGACUCCUACGGGAGGCAGCAGUGGGGAAUAUUGCACAAUA
rnacentral:rRNA from 1 species